rnacentral:rRNA from 1 species
AGCAGCCGCGGUAAUUCCAGCUCCAAUAGCGUAUAUUAAAGUUGUUGCAGUUAAAAGCUCGUAGUUGAACUUCGGGGUUUACCCAUUGGUCAGGCUUAAUUGUCUGUACUGGUGAGAUAAAUCUCUACCUUCUGAGGAACUUUCAUGUCAUUUAUUUGGUGUGGGAGGAAAUCAGGACUGUUACUUUGAAAAAUUGAGUGUUUAAAGCAGGCUAACGUCUGAAUACAUUAGCAUGGAAUAAUGAAAUAGGACGGACUGAUUCUAUUUCGUUGGUUUCUAGGAUCACCGUAAUGAUUAAUAGGGAUAGUUGGGGGCAUUAGUAUUCAAUUGUCAGAGGUGAAAUUCUUGGAUUUAUUGAAGACUAACUACUGCGAAAGCAUUUGCCA